GGCCUACGGGAGGCAGCAGUAGGGAAUCUCCCACAAUGGGCGCAAGCCCGAUGGAGCAACGCCGCGUGAAUGAAGAAGGUCUUCGGAUCGUAAAAUUCUGUUGUUAGAGAAGAAUAUGAGUAAUAGUAACUGAUUAUUCACUGACGGUAUCUAACCAGCAAGUCACGGCUAACUACGUGCCAGCAGCCGCGGUAAUACGUAGGUGGCAAGCGUUGUCCGGAUUUAUUGGGCGUAAAGGGAUCGCAGGCGGUUUUUUAAGUCUGAUGUGAAAGCCUUCGGCUUAACCAGAGAUGUGCAUUGGAAAA
rnacentral:rRNA from 1 species